GAGGAUUAAAAGCAGGUCUCUCAGCCAAUGAGUUGGAGGAAUUUCUGACUCUCUCCAAAUCUCAGCCAAUCAAAGACAGGCUGAAGAGUGUCACACGGGAAGCACUGGAGUAUAAAGGGAGAAGUGGAUGGGGCCUUACCCUAACAAGCCCACAGCCACAAUGUGAUCACUACUCCUCCAUACUCAAUAUCCAUAUUCAACAGCACACACACAAACACAGAGAUUUACAUUUAAAGGGGAAAUUUAAUAAAAUUUUCACUUUUUGGGUGUUUUUUUUUUUUUGCAUUUAGUUAGGUUUCUGGUGUGUCUGCCAGCUCGGAAAAGCUAAAAAGAAAACAAGCAGCCAGUUUGUUGAGUCUGAAACUGUGUCAUCCAGUGAGAAAUUUCAAUUUGCAGCCAGUUUCUAUGUAGCUAUUUGAAUAAGACCACCUCCGAGCCACAUGUUACAGACACUUCAUGAAGGCCCUAAAGAAUCACCAACUUGUGGAAAAUGGUGUGGCAUUCGUUGGCAGCUGCCACCCUAAGAAAAUACUUAUCUGCCACCUAGAAUUAUGCAGAACUAGUCUGUGUUUAUUGUGUUCAUGAAUAAAGGAACAAGGAAAAAUAGAUCUAUUUUGUUGUCAUUUGUUAAGAAAAUUUUAACAAAAGAUAAUAAUGCUUGUUUUGAUGGCUCGCUCAUUUGCUGCCACCUACUGGCGUAAAUGUAACAUCAAUGAAGGAAUCAGAAUCUGAAAAUCCUUUUUUUGGUCUGAAUCAAAUGACUGGAGUCACUGAAAAUCAACAACGAGAAUCAUAACUACAGGGCUGUUACGAUUCCUCGUAACUUACUCCAUUAUAUAUAAGUGGCGCAUUCCACUGACGAGAAUUCAUGAACCGCAUUAUAAAAAUCAUAAUAAAGC
rnacentral:lncRNA from 1 species